rnacentral:rRNA from 1 species
UGGGGAAUAUUGCACAAUGGGCGAAAGCCUGAUGCAGCAACGCCGCGUGAGUGAUGAAGGCCUUCGGGUUGUAAAGCUCUGUCUUUUGGGACGAUAAUGACGGUACCAAAGGAGGAAGCCACGGCUAACUACGUGCCAGCAGCCGCGGUAAUACGUAGGUGGCAAGCGUUGUCCGGAUUUACUGGGCGUAAAGGAUGCGUAGGCGGAUUUUUAAGUGAGAUGUGAAAACCCUAAGCUUAACUUGGGGACUGCAUUUCAUACUGGGAAAUCUAGAGUGCGGGAGAGGAGAAGUGGGAAUUCCUAGUGUAGCGGUGAAAAUGCGUAGAGAUUAGGAAGAACACCAGUGGCGAAGGCGAUUCUCUGGACCGUAACUGACGCUGAGGCAUGAAAGCGUGGGUAGCAAACAGGAUUAGAUACCCCUGGUAGUCCACGCCGUAAGCGAUGAGUACUAGGUGUAGGAGGUAUCGACCCCUUCUGUGCCGCAGUUAACACAAUAAGUACUCCGCCUGGGAAAGUACGAUCGCAAGAUUAAAACUCAAAUGAAUUGACGGGGGUCAUAGCUGUUUUCCUG